UGCAGUCGAGCGGAACGAGUUAACUGACCCUUCGGGUGACGUUAACGGCGUCGAGCGGCGGACGGGUGAGUAAUGCCUGGGAAAUUGCCCUGAUGUGGGGGAUAACCAUUGGAAACGAUGGCUAAUACCGCAUAAUAGCUUCGGCUCAAAGAGGGGGACCUUCGGGCCUCUCGCGUCAGGAUAUGCCCAGGUGGGAUUAGCUAGUUGGUGAGGUAAUGGCUCACCAAGGCGACGAUCCCUAGCUGGUCUGAGAGGAUGAUCAGCCACACUGGAACUGAGACACGGUCCAGACUCCUACGGGAGGCAGCAGUGGGGAAUAUUGCACAAUGGGCGCAAGCCUGAUGCAGCCAUGCCGCGUGUGUGAAGAAGGCCUUCGGGUUGUAAAGCACUUUCAGUCGUGAGGAAGGUGGUGUAGUUAAUAGCUGCAUNAUUUGACGUUAGCGACAGAAGAAGCACCGGCUAACUCCGUGCCAGCAGCCGCGGUAAUACGGAGGGUGCGAGCGUUAAUCGGAAUUACUGGGCGUAAAGCGCAUGCAGGUGGUUAGUUAAGUCAGAUGUGAAAGCCCGGGGCUCAACCUCGGAACUGCAUUUGAAACUGGCUGACUAGAGUACUGUAGAGGGGGGUAGAAUUUCAGGUGUAGCGGUGAAAUGCGUAGAGAUCUGAAGGAAUACCGGUGGCGAAGGCGGCCCCCUGGACAGAUACUGACACUCAGAUGCGAAAGCGUGGGGAGCAAACAGGAUUAGAUACCCAGGUAGUCCACGCCGUA
rnacentral:rRNA from 1 species